rnacentral:rRNA from 1 species
UGAGUAAUGUCUGGGAAACUGCCUGAUGGAGGGGGAUAACUACUGGAAACGGUAGCUAAUACCGCAUAACGUCGCAAGACCAAAGAGGGGGACCUUCGGGCCUCUUGCCAUCAGAUGUGCCCAGAUGGGAUUAGCUAGUAGGUGGGGUAAUGGCUCACCUAGGCGACGAUCCCUAGCUGGUCUGAGAGGAUGACCAGCCACACUGGAACUGAGACACGGUCCAGACUCCUACGGGAGGCAGCAGUGGGGAAUAUUGCACAAUGGGCGCAAGCCUGACGCAGCCAUGCCGCGUGUGUGAAGAAGGCCUUCGGGUUGUAAAGCACUUUCAGCGAGGAGGAAGGUGGUGAGCUUAAUACGCUCAUCAAUUGACGUUACUCGCAGAAGAAGCACCGGCUAACUCCGUGCCAGCAGCCGCGGUAAUACGGAGGGUGCAAGCGUUAAUCGGAAUUACUGGGCGUAAAGCGCACGCAGGCGGUUUGUUAAGUCAGAUGUGAAAUCCCCGGG